AUUGAACGCUGGCGGCAGGCCUAACACAUGCAAGUCGAGCGGAUGAAGGGAGCUUGCUCCUGGAUUCAGCGGCGGACGGGUGAGUAAUGCCUAGGAAUCUGCCUGGUAGUGGGGGAUAACGUCCGGAAACGGGCGCUAAUACCGCAUACGUCCUGAGGGAGAAAGUGGGGGAUCUUCGGACCUCACGCUAUCAGAUGAGCCUAGGUCGGAUUAGCUAGUUGGUGGGGUAAAGGCCUACCAAGGCGACGAUCCGUAACUGGUCUGAGAGGAUGAUCAGUCACACUGGAACUGAGACACGGUCCAGACUACUACGGGAGGCAGCAGUGGGGAAUAUUGGACAAUGGGCGAAAGCCUGAUCCAGCCAUGACGCGUGUGUGAAGAAGGUCCUCGGAUUGUAAAGCACUUUAAGUUGGGAGGAAGGGCAGUAAGUUAAUACCUUGCUGUUUUGACGUUACCAACAGAAUAAGCACCGGCUAACUUCGUG
rnacentral:rRNA from 1 species